rnacentral:lncRNA from 1 species
CCUUCUUCAGCUCAUAUAAGGUAAAAGGCAGCGAGGCCUCGGUGGCCAGAGAGCCACGGGCAAGGGGCUGAGCAGAGGGGGGUUCCAAUGCCAGUUGCUUAAAAAUGCCCCUGUAGCACCAAGAGGUGCCAGACCCAAGUGAAUUUAGUUGAGAAGCAAUAACACCCACAACCACACCCCAAAUAGACUGGGCCUCCACCUCCGAAGAUUCAUCCCUGGACCAGACACCAGUCAAGGCAAGAGUGAUGGCUGGUAGGAUUCCUCCUACACUGGAGAAGAGACCCAGAGAGGAACCUUCCUGAGAAGCGGAGAAGGGACAGUGACGGCCGCCCAGCUCCCAGAACUCGUCCCCUCCUCUCACCCCUCCCGGGAGCUUCCCAACGGACAGAAGGGAGAGAUCCCCUUGCCUGGAGACAUUUUCUGAAGACAUGGGAAAAGGAGACGAGGCGGGCUACUCCCUGGCAGCAGGCCUUCAAGCUGUUGACAACCAGUACCAAGAAGAGUGCCAGGUAAGAUCUGGAGUCCACCUGGUUCAGCCACCGCUUUAACAGAAUAGAGAACCAAGCCCGAGAGAUGAAGGGGCCCAGUGAGAAAUAUCCCUGCUCUCUGGGGAUAGAGCUUGGCUCUCUAAGCCUCUCUCAUCUUCGAAACGGCAGCUCAGGGAGGGCGAAGGAGCCUUUCUUGGGGUGAAUGAAAGGUUUUUUGAAUACUUCUUCUCAGGGAGGCUACAUGUGAGGGAGCCAGGGGUCCGGACAAGCUCUGCCUACCAGCCCAGGACGUGUAUGUUCAUGGGCCCAGAGAAAAAAGGCAUACCUUCCAGUCCUACUGUUCCUUCCCACCAUCCCAGUCCCCACCCCACCCCACCCCACCACCAAGAGGCCUUUCGAGCUACUCAAGGGGUGGGGGAAGGAACCUCCCUGGCCACAAGCUCUUGGCAGUCUUUCCACGGGCUCUCUAGAGUUCCGAUGAGUCUGCCCCCAUGCCCUCCUCGGUGCCUUCCUUCCCCCUCAGCCUUCUGUGUCCUGCAAGGACAAGGACAGUAUUAAGGCUGCAGUGCAGGGACAUACUCCCUUAGCACAUAGAGAUGGUUCUGGGUCUGCUGAAUGAGCUGUCCCACAUCCAGAGAACUAAGAAACUGAGAUAUCAGGCAUGGAGUUGAAGGUGAGGGGCCAGGCCCAGCAUGGUACCUUACACUCCAACCCCGGGGAAAAUUCUAUUUCCUUGGAGCCUUGGAGACCUAUGGGGAUAUGUGCAUUUAAAUGUUCACCAGCUUGACUAUUCUAGAAUCACAGGGACAGAACGAGACAGUCUUUAUCCAGGGAUGGGACAAGGAAGAAGAGGCAAAGACCUUUCCUGGCUGAACGCCUCCCUCUCCAUACUGUCUGGCCAUUUGUGCCUCCUUAAGGAAGAUGGACCACCUGCUGUCUAGUUCUCGUGUCCCGCUGAGAAGAUGUAAAAUCUUUGCCACGUUCUCCUUUAUCCCAAGGUGGGACAGCAGCAGCUCUCAUUUCCCCUUUCUGAGUUGCUGUCUGCAAAUCUAGAAUGCCCUAUCCCCAUUCCUGGUCCUCCAACCAAGGUGAUCAUUUCCAGCCACAAAAGCUGACCAGAAGGUAGAGCAGGCUCUGCUGUCCCACCCCAAACCUAAUCAUUGGAUGUCCUGUUUUUCACUUUCGUCUGCAAUUUUAUUGCAAAGAGUAAGGGGAAUCCUUUUAUGUACCUAGGCUGGAAUACUUGUUAGAAAUGGAAAGCUAACACCAGCCAGAGUUUUAAACAAUAAUAAUGAUGAAGAUGCAACAUC